GAGUGGGGAUUGGUGAGGAGGGGAGCAGGGAGAGGGACGGGGGGAGUUGGAAACAGGGAGGAGUGGGGAUUGGAGGAAGAGAAGAGAGGGAAAAGGUGAGGAGAGGAAGCAGGGAGAGGGAUGGGGGGAGUUGGAAACAGGGAGGAGUGGGGAUUGGAGGAAGAGAAGAGAGGGAAAAGGUGAGGAGAGGGAGCAGGGAGAGGGACGGGGGGAGUUGGAAACAGGGAGGAGUGGGGAUUGGAGGAAGAGAAGAGAGGGAAAAGGUGAGGAGAGGGAGCAGGGAGAGGGACGGGGGGAGUUGGAAACAGGGAGGAGUGGGGAUUGGAGGAAGAGAAGAGAGGGAAAAGGUGAGGAGGGGAGCAGGGAGAGGGACGGGGGAGUUGGAAACAGGGAGGAGUGGGGAUUGGAGGAAGAGAAGAGAGGGAAAAGGUGAGGAGGGGAGCAGGGAGAGGGACGGGGGAGUUGGAAACAGGGAGGAGUGGGGAUUGGAGGAAGAGAAGAGAGGGAAAAGGUGAGGAGGGGAGCAGGGAGAGGGACGGGGGGAGUUGGAAACAGGGAGGAGUGGGGAUUGGAGGAAGAGAAGAGAGGGAAAAGGUGAGGAGGGAGCAGGGAGAGGGACGGGGGGAGUUGGAAACAGGGAGGAGUGGGGAUUGGAGGAAGAGAAGAGAGGGAAAAGGUGAGG